GACGAAUGCUGGCGGCAUGCCUAAUACAUGCAAGUCGAGCGAACAGAUGAAGUGCUUGCACUUCUGACGUUAGCGGCGAACGGGUGAGUAACACGUAAGGAAUCUACCUAUAAGCGGGGGAUAACAUUCGGAAACGGGUGCUAAUACCGCAUAAUAUCUUCUUCCGCAUGGAAGAAGAUUGAAAGACGGCUCUGCCGUCACUUAUAGAUGACCUUGCGGUGCAUUAGUUAGUUGGUGGGGUAAUGGCCUACCAAGACGAUGAUGCAUAGCCGACCUGAGAGGGUGAUCGGCCACAUUGGGACUGAGACACGGCCCAAACUCCUACGGGAGGCAGCAGUAGGGAAUCUUCCGCAAUGGGCGAAAGCCUGACGGAGCAAUGCCGCGUGAGUGAAGAAGGCCUUCGGGUCGUAAAACUCUGUUAUAAGAGAAGAACAAAUUGUAGAGUAACUGCUACAGUCUUGACGGUAUCUUAUCAGAAAGCCACGGCUAACUACGUGCCAGCAGCAGCCGCAG
rnacentral:rRNA from 1 species